rnacentral:rRNA from 1 species
GUUCAACCUCACCCUUCCUUGUUUUUCCCGCCUAUAUACCGCCGUCGUAAGCUUACCCUGUGAAGGUCUAAUAGUAAGCAAAAUUGGCACUGCCCAGAACGUCAGGUCGAGGUGUAGCAUAUGAGAGGGGAAGAGAUGGGCUACAUUCGCUAGUCUAGCGAAUACGAAUGAUAGUACUGAAACCGUACAUCUGAAGGAGGAUUUAGCAGUAAGUCGAAAAUAGAGUGUUCUACUGAAGCUGGCUCUGAAGUGCGUACACACCGCCCGUCACUCUCCCCAAGCUCACAAUACAUUAAUAUACAUAAAAUGCCUAAACCGCUAAGGGGAGGCAAGUCGUAACAUGGUAAGUGUACCGGAAGGUGCACUUGGAAAAAU